GACGAACGCUGGCGGCGUGCUUAACACAUGCAAGUCGAGCGACUGCAUUCUUUUCGGAGGGUGUAUGGAGCGGCGAACGGGUGAGUAACACGUGAGUAAUCUGCCUUUGGCUUGGGAAUAACUUCGGGAAAUCGGGGCUAAUGCCUGAUGUUUACUGUCUGCUGCAUGGUGGGUGGUGGAAAGAUUUUUUGGCCGAGGACGGAGCUCGCGGUCUAUCAGCUUG
rnacentral:rRNA from 1 species